rnacentral:rRNA from 1 species
UACAGAGGGGGCAAGCGUUGUUCGGAAUUACUGGGCGUAAAGGGCGCGUAGGCGGCCUUCUAAGUCGAACGUGAAAUCCCUGGGCUCAACCCCGGGACUGCGUCCGAUACUUCCGAGCUGGAGGUAGGUAGGGGAGAUCGGAAUUCCUGGUGUAGCGGUGAAAUGCGCAGAUAUCAGGAGGAACACCGGUGGCGAAGGCGGAUCUCUGGGCCUUACCUGACGCUGAGGCGCGAAAGCUAGGGGAGCGAACAGG